rnacentral:rRNA from 1 species
AGAGUUUGAUCAUGGCUCAGGAUGAACGCUGGCGGCGUGCCUAAUACAUGCAAGUCGAACGAGGGAAGUCCAGCUUGCUGGACGGAACUAGUGGCGAACGGGUGAGUAAUACGUAAGCAACCUGCCUACAAGGACCGGGAUAACACCUGGAAACGGGCGCUAAUACCGGAUAGGUAACGGGAGGGCAUCCUUCUGUUAUUAAAGGUUAGAAACACAAGUAGAUGGGCUUACGGUGCAUUAGCUGGUUGGUGAGGUAACGGCCACCAAGGCGAUGAUGCAUAGCCGGCCUGAGAGGGUGAACGGCCACAUUGGGACUGAGACACGGCCCAAACUCCUACGGGAGGCAGCAGUGGGGAAUAUUGCACAAUGGGCGAAAGCCUGAUGCAGCCGACGCCGCGUGAGCGAAGAAGUAUUUCGGUAUGUAAAGCUCUAUCAGCAGGGAAGAUAAUGACGGUACCUGACUAAGAAGCACCGGCUAAAUACGUGCCAGCCGCCGC